AUUGCCUCGAGGUCAGUUGACUUCCGUCCUGCUUACCACAAACGCUGUUAAGUGUUGGCUGCUGCGCGCCUGGCAACGCCCAUUGUAUGCGUCGUCUCAUCUCUGGAGAAAAACCUGCAUAGCCUGAGGUGUCAUACGUGACCAGUCCGGCCUCGGACCUGCAGUACUUGUUGUACGCGAACGGCAGUGAGCCGGUCCACCGCCACCACAUGGACGACCUGCUGUGCGAGUACCACAGCACGCUGUCGGACAUCCUACGGUGCCUGGGUAUGCAGCAGGCAGCUGAGGUCUUCACUUUAGAGGAGCUGAAACGGGACAUGGACCGCUGUCUAGUUAUGGGAUUUCUCUUCAGCUGCAUGAGCGGCUUUGCUCUGACUUCUGAAAAGUACGGUGUAGAAUACGUGAAGGCAUUCAACGACCGAGAGCACGUCGACGAAGCUCUCACUAAGAUCUUCAAGAAUCCUUAUUCGUUAUCCUACAUGAAAUACCUGACGCCAAUUUUUGACAGUAAAGGAAUUUUGUGACAAUUUGUAGCACGUAUAGCUAUUAAGAUUCAAAUAAUCUAACAGUUUGUAAAUUUCUGCCUUAGAGGUUCUUCUGCCUCACUGUAGGCUAUGAGUAAGUGAGUAUGAUGUCUUGCAGGGGAGUGCCUACUGUGUUACGUGAUUAAUUCGCAUUUAUUUCUUGAGGAUUUGUAUAUAAGUAGUAGGGCAACUCUUGUACUCCAAAAGACCUUUAAAAUAUGCUUGGUAUCUUUUUAUGCCAUGGAUUGUUUUUGAAUAUACUGAUAUCGAGAGAG